UACAUACUCCCUUCGUCCGAAAAUACUUGUCAGAGAAAUGGAUAUAAAUGGAUGUAUCUAAAAUUAAAAUACAUGUAGAUAUAUCCAUUCUUCGAACAAGUAUUUCCGGACAGAGGAAGUACUGU
rfam:Triticum urartu cultivar G1812 contig1210575, whole genome shotgun sequence.